AAAACAGGAAGUACAUAAUCUUUCACACAAGACUAAACUGAGCAGCUGAGAUAAAGCGUCGCUGACGAGCUGAAGUCUUUUUAGUUGCAACGGAUUUUUUGAGAGUGAAAAUUACAUAAGAAUUAAAUAUGUCAGCGAACAAGACAUGGAUCUCUAAACUGAAGAGUGAAAUUGAAAAGAGCCCUGUUGCCUCAAAUAUGGUUUUUGGUUUCAUCCUUGCUUGCUUGGAGAAGUUACUGGAGAUGGAGUUUGCAUGUCCUUGUGAGUCCAAACAGAAUGUUCGACUUGUGGUUUUAUUUUUCAUUGGUCCUGCUCUACUGGCCUUUGUGCUGAUGAUAAAAAUCCAGGGAUGUGAGUGUAAGAAGUCUUGGAAAGAGUGGAUAGGACCUCUGGCUUCCAGCUGUGUUUCCUCCAUAGUGUGGAUCAUCCUGAUGCUUUUUGAUGGCCAGUACGUUGCCUGUGCAUUGUCAUCACAGUCAGGCAGGUUUGUAGUUAUUGACAAUGCUUCUCGACAGAAAGUGUGCACAGCAGACAACCGCAACUCAUCGCAGGAGUUAAUCAACACCCAGAAAUGGUAUUCUGGGUCUCAGGAAGCUGGAAUGUGGCUUCUCUUAUUGGCCGCUGUAAUAGGAUUAUUUUUAACAUUAAGCAAGUGCUGCAAAAAGGAAAAGCAAGAGCAACCUAACAGCGGACCGAUGAGGACGCAUGCAACGUGUGUGUAAAAAGCCAUGAGCAGCAGGACCCCAGUUCAACUCCUGGCUGACCACAUGUCACUCACCUAUUUUUUCUCUUUCUCUUUCUCUUUCUCUGUCUCUCUGUCUCUGUCUCUGUCUGUCUGUAUUUCCAGUCUGUCUCUACGGUCGCUGUCAGAUAAGGCCAAUAAAAAUCCCCAAAAAUAACUUAAAAAACACUCAAGUUGAGCAACGUCAAGAUCCAGAAGCUUCUGUGUUGACAAUUAAAGGACUGAGGUCAUGUUGUGAUCAAGAUCCCUGCUAUUGGUUAUCAUCCCAUGUAGAGAAAUUAAAUAACACUGAGAGAAGAAAAUAGACAGAACUUCAAAAAUGGACAACGCUGAAGGCUUUGAUGUGAUCAUACCAUUAUUAGUACAUAAAUAAUUCAUUUAAAGUAGACAUUGUGGAUAAAGCUAAAGAACAGCCAUCUGCUCCCCAAGCCUGUCUAAUUCCAGCUGCUUCAUAUGGCAGACUGCAUAAUGUGAAUAACUUGGGAGUGGAGAUUGAUACUUGUGAACACUGUGUAAAUAAACAAGUUGAAGAGGGCACAUCACAUGAGAUGCUUCAUUUUGAGCUUUCACGGGUUCACAAUGAAGUUCAGCUCUUUACAUGCUUUUCAAAGCUUCUUCCACAACAAACUACAUUCCUACUCAAGACAAGAACUAUAAAGAGAAUUGUAACAGUGAUGCUUAAUGGCUCUGUCUCAUUUUGUAAACUAAUUAACUCCAUGCAAAAACUAUAACCAGUUUCAGUACAUGUUGUUUUUUUUUAUUUGUUUGUUUUUUUUGUGGCAUUGUUUUAGCAGCUAUCUGCAUUUGUUCAUUUCUUUUUAUUUUGUAUUUCUCUCAUUUCUUAGUUUAGCUCUGGAAUAAAGCUUAAUUGCUUCUCUUUAUAUGAUCUCUGCCUAUAAAAUGUAUUCGUUUUGCCCUUUUUAUUCUACUUUUGCUCUUACUAAGAAUACUGCGUUCUGGAUCUAUUUCCUGAUUCAUUCACUGAGUGUUCACUCUGUAUAUGAUGGUUAUGUGACAGAUGAAAGAGAAAGUGGAAAAUAAUCCUUUAGCUCACUUUCGACGGACAUGUUGCACAUACUGUAGCACUGGUGCAUCAAUGAAACCAGUGGUUAUCCAACUCAUGGCCCACUUGAAUAUUUAAUGAAUGUUGGCGGCCCACAUCUGACCCCAUAACAGUAUGGAGGCCAAAUCAUGCCUUCUCACUGGGCUUUUGUUUUAGUAAUGAUCCAACAUUCAGGAUUGAAUCAGACAGGAAGAGAUAGGAGACAGUAUACAAGGUGGCAAUAACAUAAAAGUUCCUAUCAUUUGCUAAGUUUUUCACACAUUUCCAAAACAUUCAGAAACAUGAUUUAUAAUUUUUUUUUUUUUUUUUUAAUAUAUCUUUUAUAAUUACAUCUUUUCAACAAAAUUGUACUGUUUUGCAAAUGAUUUGUCGGCCCACUUGCAAUAUCUUCACGGCGCACCAGUGGGCCCUGGCCCACAGGUUGGGAACCACUGCUCUAAGCAGAGCCUGUAGAUGUGAUGCAGUCGUACAGAAGCAGAAAGAACAGUGAGGCAACACGUGCCUCCACAUGGACUCAGUUUCCCACAAUCCUAGGUCUUAAAAUUGCGUUGUGGUUCAAGCAGUUUCUCAGGCUGACUAAGCCCUGACUUCAGCAACUGGGGCUUUAAACAGACUUCAAAUCCUAUUUCUCUUUGAACUGACACAGUGUAACUUUAUUUUUGAACUAAAUGGAGCAAGUAAAGUGUCUUCAACUAAAAAGCCAGAUAAAGAGCGGCAGACUGCACAUCCUGUCUGUCUUGUCUGACGGCCUACA